GGUGACUCAGUGGUAGAGUGCUUGCCUGAUAUGCAUGAGGCCCUGGGUUCGAUUCCUCAGCACCA
rfam:Dipodomys ordii contig_714, whole genome shotgun sequence.